CAGCAAGAGAGAUUUUAGGAACCUUUGAAUUGAUUUACUGCUCUGGCAUUAAGAUUGAAAAAGCAUGGGUCCUGAAAAAGUGUUACUACUGCUACUAAUACUAACAACUCAGAAGAUGAUGGCUGCACAGACAACUACAAGUCCUACAACCAUCACAAGUGCUUAUUCAACAACAAACAAAGUGGCAACAACAAGAAGCACUCCAGACACAACAACAGCAGUUGUUACCUCAACAACGUCAGACACAACUACAGAGCCUCAACCAACAACUGUAGUUGUUCCAGAAACUACAACAGCUAUUCCAGUACAAACUACAGCUGUUCCAACUGCAACUGCAACCACACUCUCUGUAACAACAGGUGGUCGCACAACAACCACAGAAGAAAAAUCCAAAACAACAGCAACUCCAACAACAACCACAGCACCAUCAAGUACAGCUGAUGCAAAAACAACCACUACAGCUGCUACAUCCACAACUGCUGCAUUAACCACAACAAAAAAUGCAAUAAUCACAACCAAAGCAGCUGAAA